rnacentral:misc_RNA from 1 species
GAUGAAGAACGUAGCGAAAUGCGAUAAGUAAUGUGAAUUGCAGAAUUCAGUGAAUCAUCGAAUCUUUGAACGCACCUUGCACCCUUUGGUAUUCCGAAGGGUAUGCUCGUUUGAGUGUCAUUGUACUCUCACACUUCUAAUUCCUUUCGGGAUUGGGAGCGGUGGACUUGGGUGUUGCUGCUUUAGUUGUGGCUCACCUCAAAUAAGUUAGUGCAACUCUUGGUUGGACAUAGUACGGCGUGAUAAGUGUCUUCGCCGGCGCCUCUGUAAGGAGGGUGGCCGAUCGGGAGCUCUGUGCUUCAAACCGUCUUCGGACAAUCUUUGACAACUUGACCUCAAAUCGAGUAGGACUACCCGCUGAACUUAAGCAUAUAAUAAGCGGAGGA